rnacentral:rRNA from 1 species
AAACAUCGCCUCUUGUUAAAUUAUAAGAGGUCCUGCCUGCCCCGUGAUUUAAUUUAACGGCCGCGGUAUCUUGACCGCGCAAAGGUAGCAUAAUAAAUUGUCUUUUAAAUUAAGACUAGUAUGAAUGGCACCACGAGGGUUUAACUGUCUCCCCCUUUUAAUCAAUGAAAUUAAUCUUCCCGUGAAGAAACGGGAAUAUAACUAUAAGACGAAAAGACCCUAUGGAGCUUUAAACUUAUUACCACUUAUUUAAUAAUAUGACAAUUUAUAUAAUAAAAGUGUUCUAUAAUAGUUUUUGGUUGGGGCGACCCUGGAGAAAAACAAAUCCUCCAGAUUGAAUAAAAUAACCCUUAUAUAAGAAUUACAGUUCAAAUAGACAAAAAUUUGACAAAACCUGAUCCAAAAAAUUGAUCAAUGAACCAAGUUACCCUAGGGAUAACAGCGCAAUCCAUUUCAAGAGCCCUUAUCGACAAAUGGGUUUACGACCUCGAUGUUGGAUCAGGAUAUCCAAGCAGCGCAGCAGUUGCUAAUGGUUCGUUUGUUCAACGAUUAAUAUCCUACGUGAUC